rnacentral:piRNA from 1 species
AGGGCAGAGAGCACAGGAAUCUGA